CCUACGGGGGGCAGCAGUGAGGAAUAUUGGUCAAUGGCCGGAAGGCUGAACCAGCCAAGCCGCGUGAAGGACGAAGGUGCCAAGCAUUGUAAACUUCUUUUGUCAAGGGACAAAAUCAGGCUCGAGAGCCUGACCGAGGGUACUUGAAGAAAAAGCAUCGGCUAACUCAGUGCCAGCAGCCGCGGUAGUACGGAGGAUGCGAGCGUUAUCCGGAUUUGUUGGGUUUAAAGGGUGCGUAGGCGGGGUGUUAAGUCAGCGGUAAAAGCCCGGGGUUCAACCCCGGCUAGUCGUUGAAACUGGCUGUCUUGAGAUGUCGAGAGGGAUGCGGAAUGCGCAGUGUAGCGGUGAAAUGCUUAGAGAUGACACAGAACACCGAUUGCGAAGGCAGCUCACGAAUCCGCGAUUGACGCUGAGGUACGAAAGCGUGGGUAUCAAACAGGAUUAGAUACCCGUGUAGUC
rnacentral:rRNA from 1 species